GUGAAAAGGUGCGGUAAGAGCGCACCGCGUUCGCGGUAACGGGGACGGCAGGGUAAACCCCACCCGGAGCAAGACCAAAUAGGGACCCUUACGCGCGGCCCGCGCUGGGUCCGGGUAGGUCGCUUGAGGUGUGCGGUGACGUACGUCCCAGAUGAAUGGUUGCCCUUGACAGAACCCGGCUUACAGGCCGACUCCAAUU
rnacentral:RNase_P_RNA from 1 species